CUCCAAAUUAGUGCAUGUCGCCCGGAAGUGUGCAGCGGUUCCUGGACAACGACAUGCAUCCAAACAAAGGGUUAAAGCGCGUCGCAUGAAUCAGAUUUGACGCGAUGCGCUUUAGCAGGCGGGCAUGGCCGGCAGGAAUGCUGCCGGCCGCAUAAGGUCAGGAGCC
rnacentral:ncRNA from 1 species